UAAUAGAGGUGGAUAUCACAUUCAGUUUGAACUUUAAAAAGACAAAGACUACCAGUGAAACUGCAUACCCAGGUAAACUGCCCAUGAGAAUCAAUCACCAACCAGUAUCCAUAUUUCCAUGCAACAGAAGAGUUGGACAAAAGGUCAGGUCAGAAUUUAAAUGAGAGGUUCAGAUAGUGAUUUUUUAAAUGCUAAUAGAAACAAAUCUACAUGUACAUCUAUAUAGAUAAGCAGAAAAUAAAAACCUUGCUUUCCCUUUUUAUUUUGGUUUUGAUUCCAGGUGCUUUUAUCCCAAAGAUGAGCUUCAUAUCGUCCUGUCCAUCUAUGCCUAUGAGAAUAACAAAGACAACCUCACAAAUGUAAGAAUAUAAAUAAAGAAACACAAUCAACUGAUUCAAGGAUCUUCAGAACAGAAAAGCUCAGAGAGAACAAAAUCUACAAUUGCACCUGCAGAGCUUUUGCAGACUGUCAUGAGGAUUCUAACUUUUAGGAUGAUUACAGCAGUAUUAUUCAAUGUAAAGUUUAUUACUUGAGAUAAGUUUUGCUGAACAAUCCAAUAUCAGCAUAUUUUGAUUUUUAACAUCCAAAACCUACAUGUUCUCUAUUGAAGAUUUUAGAUUAAUUCAUAAUGCCAUCAUGAUUGGAAAAAAUCCACGUACAUGCACCACAUAACAAAGACAAAAACUAAAUAUAUUAGCUUUCAGGAAAAGUUGACUCGUUAAGUGUAGAAUUUCAUCCAUAAGCCAAGGUUUGAAACAGUAUGAGCUCAAAAAAAAAUUUUUUUUUUUUGGUUUUUUUGGGGGGGGGGGGGGAAGGGGGGGAAUGCGUAUGCAAUAAGGAGAUCAACUCCACCCAUCCAUUUCCCACUGAAUCUCUCCAGAUAGUGCAGAAAAGGCAUGAAGCUACUAGAUUUUGUCAACUCACAAUCAUCUUAGACAUGAAUUAAUGAUUCGCAAUAUGCAAGAUCCACUCUGUAUUUUAAAUAGAAAAAAUUGAUUAUCAAAUGCAGUGCCAAGGAUUGUACCAACAGAGUGCUCACUGAAUAAGAUGCUACUGACGUUGCAUCGUGGAAAUGGCAACAGUAUUGCUUUUCAAACAUAUAGAUAAAAUUAAAAUGGCAUAUGAGGUUUAACAGCUUGUGACAACCUGGUCAUCUGGUCUACUUUAGGUGUGGUAACCACAAAUGCACAUGCUUCAAACUGCCCAACAUCUUCAAGGAUGCCCAUUUACUAAAUUGUGUAUAAUAAACCCCUCCAAGAUGGGCAAGACUUUACACUGACAAAAAGACGUAUAUUCCCCACCCUCACAUCUCAGUCAUAGGCAACGGCAAAAACAAGUUAUGGAAGCAGCCAACUGCUAUCUUAACAGAUGCUGAGCAUCCACUGUGGCCUUUUGGCUGUGGCUAUUCUAAUAGCAAUUUCUGCAAAUAGAUUGUGUUCAUUGAACCAGCUGUAGAUCCCAUGGAAAAUGCAAUACUCAAAUGCAAGAUAUAUGCAUAUGCUCACUGCCAUAUUCUAUAUGGUGAUUCAAACAACUUAUUCACAUUCCUAUUUAAUAAAGUUACAAAAACAUCCUUAGUAUCCUAAACUCAACAAAAGAUAUCAAAGAUCAUUAAAAGACUUGUAGCCAACAGUAGAUGCUGGAAGCUACAAGAAACGAAAAUGGAUAGCUCCCUUUGACCAAAGCUUUUAUUAAAGAGUAUAUUCCAAUAUUAGGUUGCCAACAAGCUGUGCCUUUAUUGUCCACAUAAAACAUGUUGUAUCAUAAAAUCAUUGUACAACAUUAUGAGAUUACUUCAUUCAAUACUAAAUUGAAUUAUAAAACUGUUUGUAGACUUUUGCUAAGGCUGAAUCACAUGCUUCAUCCCUCUAUAGAUUCAUGUCAUAUCUCCAACUACAAAUCCUACCAAAAGAUUCCACAAUCCAAACUUUUAUCAUUGUUUUAAUGGACUAAAUGGAGAGAUGAAAAAGGAGAGCCAGAAAAAACUAGAAAUGAGAUAAGAGUAUACGGGCCAUUGAGGUACUAUUGAGAGAUGAGAAAGAAGAACCAGACAAAGAUAUAAAAUUUAUAUCCAAAUUCUUAUCUGGACCUCAUGAAAAUGAGAUGAUAUGUGGGUUACUGAAGUUCUCUUUUAAUUUAGGUGUCAAAAGAACUUAACUAAGUUUAAAAGAUAAUGGAUCACUUGCACCAAAUUUAUGUUUUUUCAAUUAUAGUAGUAUUAUUGAAUAUGAAUUUGUUGUCCAUUUACUUCAUAUUCCAUUAAGAUACAGAUGUAUGGAAACAAAAAGUUGGCAUUCACACCUACAGCUAAAGUAAGGAAUUCAUGGUUUCUUUUUGAUGUUAAUAAAGAGAGGAGAUGAAAGUUUCCUUCCUUAAAGUAGGAGUUACACAAGAUUGCUUCAUCAUUUUUUCUUUAACUUAAAAUACCUGCUUGAGUCAGAUCACCCCAUGAUUGGCGCCCAAUUGUUUUCUAACAAUGCUUAAUUUCAAGCUACCUUCUCUAUGUGAAAUGCAUCUCAAAAAGCUAAACAACAGCGCAUACUACUCAUCAGGAAAUAGACAUACAAACUUAACACAGAGAUUGAUAUCAUUUUCAGCUCAUCCUUAGCCAAAGAAUAGUUACAACAAGGUAAAGAACUGCACUAUCAUUGACUUAGUUGGCUACUAACUACUUAUGUCAUUAAUACUACCGGUAAGUUUCUGAAAUCUACAAAAUCAAAUCUUAACCAACUCGAAUAAUUUUAGUUAACACGACAAAUUCCUAUUCCCCCACCCCCCCCCCCACCAAAAACAAUUGUCUAACUGUCACUUUUUUUUUUGUUUUACUAAUAGAAAGAUUUCCAGAGACUUUAGUAGCUUCCUAGAAUAAAAAUAACCCUUUUUUUAUACUUCUUAUAAUCAAACAAACUUAACAAUAAGCUCUACAAAUUCAAAUAUAAACCUACAGCGAAAAAAUCAAUAAAAACUAGCAUUUCCCUAGAUACAGAUAUAGAACACACACCAUCAUGGAGUAACUCAACACUAGUUUAUACUACAUAGUACCUAGUCACGCCGCGAUAAAUAGAGCUACGUUUGCCGGCUGUGCAAGGGGCAUUUUGCUGAUGCGUUCUUUAGCAGUACAUCCUCUCUCUUUCUUAGCUUUCUUCAGCCCUCUAUACAUUGCCAGCUCAUCGCCGGCGCCGCCUCCUCCCGGUAUGGGUCCCACCAUCACUGCACCAGUAGCAGCAGCAGCUACAGCUUCAGACGUUUCCCCUCCUCCUCCUCCGCCGCCGCUGCUGCUGCAUCCGCCGGUUUCCACUUUUCCAGGAGGCGGUCGAGAGGAAGACGACGCCAUUAAAUAAUUUAGCUCAAAACACAAAAACAAGCCCCUAAAUAAGGAGAAAACAGAUCUAGAAAAGAGGAGAGUAUGAUUUGAUUGUUUUGGAGCGGAGGACAGCAGAAUCCCGCAAGCUAAUCUAAAUCUGCCGUGGGAUUUAAAAUUAUUCUUUGGUGGUUUGGAAUUUUGCGGGGAGUGAGUCCAACGGCUAUGACGCAAGGGUUUGAGAGUACUUCUGUUUUUGGGGAGAAACUGUGGCACGUUCUAUCAGCCUCCACCUGUCUGUUACGGCAGUGACAGUUUCAAAUGGUAAAUGGGCUAGACGAGUUGACAAAGUUUUUUUUUUUUUGUGACACGAUCAUUUUUAUUUUACACCUAUAUUAAAGAGAAAGGAUGGAUCUAAAAAAUUCAAUAGAGAGUUCUAAAAGGAUUGAACUGCCAUCAAACCAAACGCGUACCUCUACAUUUGCUAGUGAAUUUUUUGAGGAAAUUCUCUUGAUAACUAACUACUCUAAUCGUACUUAGGGUGCGUUUAAUAAAAUUGAGUCUAAAAAUUGAAAUCUGAAGUUUAAAUCUAUUAAAUUAUUGAAUUGUUAAGUAUUAAAUCUAAUACAUUUGAGCACAUAUUACACUCAGUGAUAAGUAAAUAGUUUAUUACUUAAUUUCGAAACUAAAUGUUGAAUUAAAUUAUUAAAUAGAGCCUUAGCUAGACUUAGUUAGAUAAAGUUGAAAUUCCUUGGCCGCGGGGGUAUCAUAUAAAUGUUGAAUACAAGGGGUGGGGUGGUUUUCCUAUGAGAUCAUUAUUGUGGGGAGAAAAGAGAAGAACUAUACACAAAAGUCAUAAACAUUUAUAGUAGUUAAGAAAGAUUUUUAACUUUUAGUGGAGGGGGGUCCCUACGGGCCCUCUACUGCCUCGAACAAUGAUGACAUCAAGUAACUCUAAUAUAACAAACAUGUAAGGUCGCGUGGCUAGUAUUUAUAUGUAUUGACAUUUUUGUUGUAAAAAUAUAUAUUUUUUUUCAAACGAUAAUUAUUAUAUAAUAUAUCUAUCAUAUAAAUUACAAGGAAGAGAGAGCCUAAAGAGAUUGUAUUUGAAGUUAUCAAGCUAAGAAAGGAUACUUGCCUAGCUAAACACAACCCACACAUUCUAUUCAUUGUCUAAUAAAACAUGAACAUUCUAUAGAAAAGGAAUGUGUUUCAAAAACUGAACUGUUUCCCUAAAUAUAUUACGUCAAGUGCAACUCAAAUAAGUAAUUGCCUCAAAAUCCUAUGCUCUGUUUGGAUGGGAGUGUUUUUCAAAAACUAGUUUUUCAAAUACAAUAAAAAUUUUUAAAAAGUACUCUAAAAGGUAAUCUAAAAAUUAGUUUAAAAUUUUAAAAAAUAUCUCAAAAUAUAUUCUAGAAAUUCUUCUACUCUUAAAUAUCCCAAAAUAUUUUCUAAAAAUAUUCCAAAAUAUACUCUAAAAACUCUGCUACAGCAAAAUUUUUCAAAAACAGCUAAAGAAAUCCUAGUUCUUGCAACUCAAAUAAGUAACUGCCUCAAAAUCCUACUUCUUCCAAGUUCUUGCUAAAGAAUCUUCAUGUGAAAGUUGCUGUAAAAUUCUUACUGUGUCUCAACGUCAAUAACAACUUUUUUGAGUGUGUUUCUUUCAGUUUUUACUUGAAGAGCCACCCGAAGAAUUAUGGAUACAGCAGUUCACCUAGAGGUAUUCUGCUGUAAUUGCAUUACAUAACCUUAGUGCUUUAAUUAGAAUCUUUUUCACAUAUCCAAAACCAAAAAUUAAAAAUUAAAAAACCUAUAGCAUGGACUAACAGGUUAGAGAUUGUAACUCACGCAAUUUUAGAAUGAAAAAGAUGAAGCUUCAGCAAAUGAAAACCAACCUCAGAAGUGCGUGAAGAUCCCACAGGAAGAACUGAAACAAGACUGGUCCAAAGAACAGGAUCAUUUAAGGAAUCAAUAGAGUUGUAGUUGGUCACAAGUGGAGCAGUUAGUAAGGGAGUUAGUGGGUAAACAUUUCUUGGAACGGGUAAUCCUCCAGUCAUCCCAAGUCCAGCUCCAACUCUCUCAUUUCCACCAUCAUGACUACAUUUUUCAACCCCCUUGCCGUAGUCCUUUUUGUUAAUAACAUUUUUAUCUUCAUUUUCAUCAUUCUCAUCUAUUGCUUUCUUCUUCAAUCCUUUUUCUUGUAAGCUCUUAAAUGCUGCGGAUUGUGACAAAAUGCUCAUAGCAGACACAGCACCUUUUCGGUGUUUUCCUUCUUGAGGCACACCCAAUCGUGGCAUCUCAUAGGGUUCAGUGGGCUUAGCUGUCAGUUCUACAGAUUUAAGUUCACUGCUCAUGUCUUCACCAGGGCGAUAUGAUGUUUCCUCUGAUGAUUUAGCGUGUGGAUCUACUUGACGUGGUUUAUUGGUCCCCCACCACUUGAUAUAAGUGGUCAAAUCAAACUUCCUAUCAAUGCAAAAGCCACCAAUAUAUUCAUUUUCUGCUGUUGCAUCAUCAGCUGCACCUGAUAGAGGAGAGGAAUGCCAAUAAUUUGGUAACCAAACCACAAACUAAAACCUAAGAAGUUUAAGUAGGCAGAACACUAUGAAACCUAUAGAUCUGUAGAAGAUUUUUUCCUAGUAACCCGAAAAUUUUUUUCUCCAAUGUCUAAAUUUAGUCACCAUAUCGAAUGCUGGUGAAGUAAUCAGCCCCAGAAAACUGACCAAAUUGUGGAUCCCAUCGGCUGCAUACACAAACAAACAAUAAAACAGAAGGAAAACAACAUUAAAAACACAUCCAAACAUGAGUAAAUACACACACACAAAUAUAUAUUAUAUACACCACUGAGAAACCAAUGAUGGCAAUCUCUGAUAACAUAAGCUUUCAGACAAUACAUUUGCCUCAAGCUAAAAAACAGUAACUUAUGGCUCACAUAAUACUAAAUAAAAGCCAAUGUCAAAAAUCUAGUUUAUGCAUUUGUACCUUGAAAGAGGACGAUAUUUGGAGACUCCUCUUGAGAAGCCACUACUCUUUCUGCAGAAAAGCAUGUCAUAAGGAGCAUGUCAUAAGGAACAUUACAAUUAUUCUAGUAUAACAUAUACAAGGUAUACAAACCUUCGAAGGGAUGCGAGAUAGUCUUCUCUUGAGAAAUUUUGCAUCUCUUCAAGGUCCCUUGUAUAGUCAGUAACCUAUACAGCAUAUGAAUAGGAAUGAUUCUCACAAGAAUAACUCCAGCAGUACAUGAUAUUGUGCUCUUAAAUGAAGGUCUCUAAAUGUACACUAUCAGAUUUGACAGGAAAAGAAGAGUAAAGCUAUUCUUCCUUUUCUUUUGGGAGAUGGGGAUUUUCCUUUUACAUUCAUUUAUAAGAAAACUAGUCCGUGGCGUCAUACUGGAAAAUUAAUGAGUGUUCCAGGGCCCCAGUAUUUCAAGGCAGCAAGAUCAUAUGCUCUGGCUGCUGCCUCCUCAUCAUCAUAUGCACCUAUAGGCAUCAUAUUUGUUAGUUAAUAGAGGUGGAUAUCACAUUCAGUUUGAACUUUAAAAAGACAAAGACUACCAGUGAAACUGCAUACCCAGGUAAACUGCCCAUGAGAAUCAAUCACCAACCAGUAUCCAUAUUUCCAUGCAACAGAAGAGUUGGACAAAAGGUCAGGUCAGAAUUUAAAUGAGAGGUUCAGAUAGUGAUUUUUUAAAUGCUAAUAGAAACAAAUCUACAUGUACAUCUAUAUAGAUAAGCAGAAAAUAAAAACCUUGCUUUCCCUUUUUAUUUUGGUUUUGAUUCCAGGUGCUUUUAUCCCAAAGAUGAGCUUCAUAUCGUCCUGUCCAUCUAUGCCUAUGAGAAUAACAAAGACAACCUCACAAAUGUAAGAAUAUAAAUAAAGAAACACAAUCAACUGAUUCAAGGAUCUUCAGAACAGAAAAGCUCAGAGAGAACAAAAUCUACAAUUGCACCUGCAGAGCUUUUGCAGACUGUCAUGAGGAUUCUAACUUUUAGGAUGAUUACAGCAGUAUUAUUCAAUGUAAAGUUUAUUACUUGAGAUAAGUUUUGC
rnacentral:lncRNA from 1 species